UACGUAGGGUGCGAGCGUUGUCCGGAAUUAUUGGGCGUAAAGAGCUCGUAGGCGGUGUGUCGCGUCGGCCGUGAAAACCUGGGGCUCAACUCUGGGCGUGCGGUCGAUACGGGCAUCACUUGAGUUCGGCAGGGGAGACUGGAAUUCCUGGUGUAGCGGUGAAAUGCGCAGAUAUCAGGAGGAACACCGGUGGCGAAGGCGGGUCUCUGGGCCGAUACUGACGCCGAGGAGCGAAAGCAUGGGUAGCGAACAGG
rnacentral:rRNA from 1 species